rnacentral:rRNA from 1 species
UACGAAGGGUGCAAGCGUUAAUCGGAAUUACUGGGCGUAAAGCGCACGUAGGCGGCUUUCUAAGUCGGGGGUGAAAUCCUGGAGCUCAACUCCAGAACUGCCUUCGAUACUGGAGAGCUCGAGUCCGGGAGAGGUGAGUGGAACUGCGAGUGUAGAGGUGAAAUUCGUAGAUAUUCGCAGGAACACCAGUGGCGAAGGCGACUCGCUGGUCUUUUGCUGACGCUGAGACGCGAAAGCGUGGGGAGCAAACAGG